CACGUAGGGGGCAAGCGUUGUCCGGAUUCAUUGGGCGUAAAGAGCUCGUAGGCGGUUCGAUAAGUCGGGUGUGAAACCUCCAGGCUCAACCUGGAGACGCCACCCGAUACUGUCGUGACUAGAGUCCAGUAGGGGAGCGUGGAAUUCCUGGUGUAGCGGUGAAAUGCGCAGAUAUCAGGAGGAACACCAGCGGCGAAGGCGGCGUCCUGGACCAAUACUGACACUGAUGAGCGAAAGCCAGGGGAGCAAACGGG
rnacentral:rRNA from 1 species